GUCAAGUGUCCCCUAUGUAAAUGGAUCACUCAUUAAUAUAAAAGCGUGUGUAAACUGCCUUCAUGCCUUUGCAUUCGCUUCAGUUUUUCAGGCAGGAAACUUCCUCACAUUUCGUGAUCGCCAUCAAGAUCACCUACUGCUAUUAAUGAAAUGGUUAAAUCUGAUCAUCGUUUGAAAAUAAGGAAACUGACACACAAGAAAAUGAACUGCUUUCAUCAUAAGCUAUGGAAAUCCGGGAUAUCACCCUGAGGGUUAAAUUGAAACUCAGCUCCUA